rnacentral:rRNA from 1 species
UGGGGAAUAUUGGACAAUGGGCGAAAGCCUGACGCAGCGACGCCGCGUGAGGGAUGAAGGCCUUCGGGUUGUAAACCUCUUUCAGCAGGGACGAAGCGAAAGUGACUGUACCUGCAGAAGAAGCACCGGCUAACUACGUGCCAGCAGCCGCGGUAAUACGUAGGGUGCAAGCGCUGUCCGGAUUUAUUGGGCGUAAAGAGCUCGUAGGCGGCUUGUCACGUCGGAUGUGAAAACCCGGGGCUCAACCCCGGGCCUGCAUUCGAUACGGGCAGGCUUGAGUGUGGCAGGGGAGACUGGAAUUCCUGGUGUAGCGGUGAAAUGCGCAGAUAUCAGGAGGAACACCGGUGGCGAAGGCGGGUCUCUGGGCCAAUACUGACGCUGAGGAGCGAAAGCGUGGGGAGCAAACAGG